rnacentral:misc_RNA from 1 species
UUCCCCAUGAUAGGGAGAAGCUUUUAACGAGAUUUUUUUCGGAGCUUCAAGAUAGAGAAAGAGAAUUUGCUAUAGCCGAUAUCCAAAUUGGCCUUGCAACGCUUGAAGAAGUUUUCUUAAAUAUUGCCAAGCAGGCAGAGCUAGAAAGUGCUGCAGCUGAGGGGAGGUUGGUUACUUUGACCUUAACAUCUGGAGCCUCAGUUCAGAUACCUAUAGGAGCUAGAUUUGUUGGGAUUCCGGGAACACAAUCUCCAGAGAAUCCUAGAGGCAUAAUGGUUGAAGUAUACUGGGAGCAAGAUGAUUCCGGUUCUCUCUGCAUUUCUGGUCACUCUGCUGAAAUGCCUCUGCCUCUUAACGUUCAACAAUUUAUUUCUGCAUCACAGCCACGUUCUAAUAUAAAUUUCCUCCGCCGGGGUAAAGAACCAGUUUAUGGAAUCAUGAUCGAUCCGAAUCAGAUUAGUCCUAGUAAUUAUUAACAAUCAUAAACUCUUAUUUAUUCUAUUAUUCUACACCUCUCUGAUUUAGCGGUAUUAGUCCAUAGCUUUUUCUUUGGCUAUUUGUAUAGGACUUGAUAUUUGAAUAGUUCAAAAUAAUAUCUCUAUUUACCAGAAGGGAAAU